AUGAGGUCCCGGAUUCAUCAGAAUUAUUCUACCGACGUGGAGGCAGCCGUCAACAGCCUGGUAAAUGUGUACCUUCAGGCCUCCUACACUUACCUCUCCCUGGGCUUCUAUUUUGACCGUGAUGAUGUGGCUCUGGAAGGCGUGAGCCACUUCUUCCACAAAUUGGCCAAGGAGAAGCGUGAGGGCUACAAGCGUCUCCUGAAGAUGCAAAACCAGCAUGGCGGCCGUGCUGUCUUCCAGGACAUCAAGAAGCCAGCUGAAGAUGAGUGGGGUAAAACCCCGGAUGCCAUGAAAGCCGCCAUGGCCCUGGAGAAAAAGCUGAACCAGGCCCUUUUGGAUCUUUAGGCCCUGGGUUCUGCCCACACAGACCCCCAUCUCUGUGACUUCCUGGAGACUCACUUCCUAGAUGAGGAAGUGAAGCUCAUCAAGAAGAUGGGUGACCACCUGACCAACCUCCACAGGCAGGCUGGCUGGCCUGGCGGCUGGGCUGGGCAAGUAUCUCUUCCAAAGGCUCACUCU